UGAGGAAUAUUGGUCAAUGGACGGAAGUCUGAACCAGCCAAGUAGCGUGCAGGAUGACGGCCCUAUGGGUUGUAAACUGCUUUUGUAUGGGGAUAAAGUCAAUCACGUGUGAUUGUUUGCAGGUACCAUACGAAUAAGGACCGGCUAAUUCCGUGCCAGCAGCCGCGGUAAUACGGAAGGUUCGGGCGUUAUCCGGAUUUAUUGGGUUUAAAGGGAGCGUAGGCCGGAGAUUAAGUGUGUUGUGAAAUGUAGACGCUCAACGUCUGACUUGCAGCGCAUACUGUUUUCCUUGAGUACGCACAACGUUGGCGGAAUUCGUCGUGUAGCGGUGAAAUGCUUAGAUAUGACGAAGAACUCCGAUUGCGAAGGCAGCUGACGGGAGCGCAACUGACGCUGAAGCUCGAAGGUGCGGGUAUCGAACAGGAUUAGAUACCCUGGUAGUCCGCACAGUAAACGAUGGAUGCCCGCUGUUGGUACCUAGUAUCAGCGGCUAAGCGAAAGCAUUAAGCAUCCCACCUGGGGAGUACGCCGGCAACGGUG
rnacentral:rRNA from 1 species